UGGACAGAUUAUUGUAAUCGACUGUAUUCACGACGUGAAACAGGGGAUUACAUUGUUUUUAAACGGAAAGUGAAUCAAUUAACAUAAUAGACUCCU
rnacentral:pre_miRNA from 1 species